GUUAGAAAAGAAAAGAGUGCAAAAGCCACAAAAGCAGAACAGUCUGGGGGACCUGGUCACACGGCACACGUCCCAUCUCAGACUCCCCUGCAGCUGUCCCCAGCACUAACCAGCAGCCUGAGGUCCGGUCCAGACUUUGACCACCAAGGCCAACCCAAGCUGUAUCUUGUUUUGACAGAUGUAAUUGUUUAAGGGGAGAUAAGGACCUGCUUGCUUCCUUGUAUAAAGCCUGCCUAGUGCAUCAUUAAUAGACUAAGGUGACCGACCUGAAGGGGAGCUGUCUGUGCAGGGUUAGCUCCUCUGGGACUCAGACGAGAGCCCAUGUGAAGGAAUGGCUUGGAGAAGACUCAACUUUGGAAUAAACAACUAGGUUGUUUUUUUCCCCCAACAACAGGCUCCCUGGGACAGAGGCUGCUGGUAACACUCAGGCUAAAAUGAUAGGUAGAGGGCAGAUCCUACGCUUUGGAAGGCAAAUCUGAUGGGGGAUACCGAGGAUACGCUGGCAGCCCACUCUGCUUCUGCUGACCACGAAGGGACUUGAGAGAUGUGGCUGGUGAUUCCUGAGACCUUCUGAACACCCCAGGAGAGGCGGACCUUCUGACAGAGGUGUGAGGACAUCUUCCUCCAUCCAGCCACUCACAGACUGAGGAUGAGAGGUUCACAAGAGUGAUCUGCAACCCAGCCACAAACAACCCAGGAAUAACCUGCUGGGAAGUUCAGAGAGGAUCAGUUAUUCCAGCUGUGGAAAACGCCAGCUACACUGACCCCCAAGUGCUGUCACGGUGUCAACCAGCUCUUCUCAAUCUUCAUUUUCAGUAGCUAUUUUGUCACUUUUAACAUCUGUAUUAGUAAAUCUUCUCUAGAUGUGAGCAACUGAAAGAAACUUGAAUUAGCUUCAAUAUUAAAGGAUAGCUUUAAUAUUAAUAUUAAUGGGUAGCUACCCAUUCGGUAGCUACAUACAUUUGCUAUAGUACUGGCUGGUUUUGUGUCAACUUGACACAGGCUAGAGUUAUCACAGAAAGCGGAGCUUCAGUUAAGGAAAUGCCUCCAUGAGAUCCAGCAGUGGGGCAUUUUCUCAGUUAGUGAUCAAGGGGGAGGGCCCAUUUUGGGGGUGCCAUCCCUGGGCUGGUAGUCUUGGGUUCUAUAAGAGAGCAAGCUUAGCAAGCCAGGGGUAGCAAGCCAGUAGGAAACAUCUCUCCAUGGCCUCUGCAUCAGCUCCUGCUUCCUGACCUGCUUGAGUUCCAGUCCUGACUUCCUUUAGUGAUGAACAGCAAUGUGGAAAUGUAAGCUGAAUAAACCCUUUCCUCCCCCCACUUGCUUCGUGGUCUUGAUGCUUGUGCAGGAAUAGAAACCCUGACUAAGACAGUCACAUAAGAACACAAGAGUUUCAUGGAACCCACAGGUAAAAAGAUAUAACUGGGUCUCCAGACGGAAGUGCAAAGUGGUCAGGACUUCCUGCUUCAUGUUUUGACUUCCCUCUAUAGUGUUUUAUAACAAUUAAUAAAAGCAUGUGACAUCAACUGAGUGCUUAGUAUAUCCCACACUCAGAAAAAGGUAUUUUUCAAAUCACCUCCACUAUACUCGUGAGGAGUCUGAGACUCAGAGAGAUGGAAGUGCCCCGCUGUCCCCACUUAGAAGUAGCAGACAGGACUUUGUGGUUCAGUAGAUUGGUUCUGGAGCAGAACCCCCUAAGUUCUGCAUAUUGGGGGCAGAUCCAGAUUGGGGUGACAUCCCAGAGCCUUCCCUUUGCAGCCUCAGCUGCAAGGGUUUGAAUACUUUGUGGGGAGGAGGGGCAGGGAAAAGAUGAGGAUCGCAUCAGGACAGCUGAAACUGAGGCAAAUGUGGCCGGCCAAGAAAGCUCUGACAUUUACAUCUGUGGAAAAUUUCCUAUUGGCAAAGCUUAUGUCCUCUUUGCCGUUUGAAUCCACCCAAUCGGCCUGCACGGCUGACUGUCUUUGAGGCAUUUAGGAACAGAAUGCUGGGCUGCUGGAGUCCUGCGAUCUCACGCUUCUCUCAGUGCCUCUAACUUCCUACUUAUUUUUACAAUCUCCAUACACUGAUUGAGAUACUCUUGACAUGCGCAACUCUUUGGUUAUACACAGCAGAGCAGAGGCUCACGUCUUUACCCUUACCUUCU